AUGCUCCUUAAUUGGAAAAUCACCUGUAUGUCAGAGGGUCCUUCUGGGAAAACAUUAAGAGCAAGGGGCCGAUGCAAUCUCGGAUCCUCCCGAAUGUGCCCAGAUUCUCCUCCUCAUGGGUCUACCCUGAUCCUUUUCUUUAUUUGCCUUGAUUACAGGAUGUGGGUGGGAAGGCAACCUAGUACAGCCACUAUGGAGAACAGUGUGGAGAUUCCUUUAAAAAUUGCAAAUAGGUGGUGGGAUUUUUGAAGACCAUCCUAUAAUUCUUGGACUCCACUCAUAGCUUCAGAGCUGCUGGGCUGCUUUGGAGGAGGAGGAGUGCCCACGGAGGAAGCCCUUUGAAAAGAGACCUAGCACUUCAAUUUAUAACACUCUGUGUGCUCAAAUGAUGGGGCCAGGUCAGGGUCAGCCUGGUCUUGGUUUACAUUGAAUUCCUCAUAGAGACUGGUCUCGGCAAAGAGGUGCAAGGGGCUCAGGGGAGUGGGAGUGAACAGUCUCUCAGAGAGGAUCCUGUGGUUCAAGUGGACGAAUAUCACAUCCUCUGCUGAUGGGUCCUGAGAGGAAGGAGAUGUGAAUGAUGGAAUGAAAUGCGAUCUUUGAAGGCUGAAGAAUUGGGCAUUGGAGGGGCUCGGGCUAUGGCAAGGGUUUGGGUGGGAAGAUCCACGUCGCCGUUCACUGUUCUGUCUUCCUUGGGCUCUCCUUCCGUGAUGGCAACAUCUGCGAAUGGAAGAGACUCAAGGCUCUUGGCAUGGGGGUGUUUCUUCUAGACCUCCAUAUCUUUGGUGGGGACAUCAAAGCCACAAAAUGCAGGGGUGUGCCCCAGGAUGCUGAGUCUGUUCACUCUACUAAAUUAAAAAAAAAAAAAUCAUCCCAUAUAUAAGCCCAGCCACUGACAGACUCUCUCAGGAAUCUGUGCAAACCCAUGGAGCCCAUCCUACAUCUUUUCUUAUGGACCAUCCUCUAAUGCAUAUUAGUAGAUUCCCAAGAUCAUAAAAGGGAGAGGAACAGAUGGCUGUGAUUGAAGGGACGAACAGGGCUUGGAAUGUCCCUGGUGGCCCACGGAUUAAGAGUCAAACUUCCAGUUCAGGGAGCAUGGGUUCUAUUUCUGGUGGGAGAACUGAGAUCCCACAUGCCUUGAAGCAACUAUCCUCAGUGCUGCAACUGCUGAGCCCGCGAGCUCUGGAGCCUCCAAAUGCACCCAGCACUGCAAUGAGGAUCCCCCAUGCUGCAGCUGAGACCUGAGGCAGCUAAGAACAAAUUAACACAUAUUCUCUUUAAAAGAACAGGGUUCCAUGGUUCUCUGGAAGAUAUUGCCUCAGGGAUUACAACAAUGGAAAUCAGUUUUCAACCUACUGGAAUAGAAAACGCCAUUCUCUGUUAUGAGCCCAGCUGCCCCUGGGUCAGAUGACGCUGUGCUUUCCUCCUUCAGACUUACGAUUGUGGGUAGAACACCAGUGACAGUUUGGCUCUUCAUACUUACUUUAUGGGUAACCAGUGACAGACAAGAACAGCAAGGAAGAUGCUGGUAUAGAUGAAGGCUACGGAGAGCCUAAGGAGAAGGUGCAGCUGGCUGGACUGGCCUUGAGGAAGCUGUACUUCUGCCAACAAGCCAAUGGAAGAAGGUCUGGUUAUCCGUUGCAUACACCCAGCCCCUAUACACAGGAGUUAUUGCAUCCUUGUGUCAAAGUGUGUCAGCAGCUCUCAACCUGAUCAGUAUGGUCUCCACUUUCCAGGAGGCACCAAAGCGUCCAGGAGAGAUGCUAGCAGGGGAUGGAGUAAGGAGGCCAUGCAAGACCAGAAGUGGUCUGAAACCAGGUCCCCCGGGCUCCCAUGCACUUUUUCUCUGCUGGCCG
rnacentral:lncRNA from 1 species